AAGCACUCUGUGUGGGGAACAUGAGAGCCAGACCAAAGCUCAGAGGAACCCGCCUGGACCUCCACCCAGAAGUGUGUCCUCUAAGAGCAAACGGGUGAAGCAUUUCUUUCGUAAUUUAGGGCAAAAAAAGUCAUCUGACAAAAACGUCAAUCAGAAACCAUCCAGCUCUGUGUCCUUAAAGAGUGACCGGUCCAAUCAUCGAUUCAUUGAUUUUAAAUCCCAGCCUGUGUCUGCUGCAGAGAGGUGAGCUGUUAGUAACAAGAACUCUCUGAUUUAAAUGAUUUUGAUGUUUCCUGGUUUCUAAAAUGCAUCUCUGUAGCAGAGCAGUGUCUCCAAGGACACACAGGCUCAGCUGUAACUGUCAGUUUAUCUGGUUUAAGACACAU